AGGAUUCCAAAUGAAUGAGAAGUUAGUUAGAAACAAACUGUGCUCUUCCCAUCUCAAAGAUCAGUCUGGAAAUGCAGCACUGACUCACCGUUUGCGGAUUCAACGCGGGCUCCAAUCCUGGGUUGUUCUCACAGCGCCAUCUUGAG
rnacentral:lncRNA from 1 species